CCUACGGGAGGCAGCAGUGGGGAAUAUUGCACAAUGGGGGAAACCCUGAUGCAGCGACGCCGCGUGAGUGAAGAAGCGUUUCGGCGCGUAAAGCUCUGUCAGCGGGGAAGAAACACGGUUCGCGAGAGCCGCGGACGGUACCCGACCAAGAAGCCGCGGCUAACUACGUGCCAGCAGCCGCGGUAAUACGCAGGGGGCAAGCGUUAUCCGGAUUCACUGGGGGUAAAGGGAGCGUAGACGGCGAGACAAGUCUGGAGUGAAAGGCCGGGGCCCAACCCCGGGACUGCUCUGGAAACUGCCUAGCUGGAGUACAGGAGAGGUAAGUGGAAUUCCUAGUGUAGCGGUGAAAUGCGUAGAUAUUAGGAGGAACACCAGUGGCGAAGGCGGCUUACUGGACUGUAACUGACGUUGAGGCUCGAAAGCGUGGGGAUCAAACAGGAUUAGAUACCCGAGUAGUC
rnacentral:rRNA from 1 species